rnacentral:rRNA from 1 species
GACGAACGCUGGCGGCGUGCCUAAUACAUGCAAGUAGGACGCAGUUGCGAACGGGUGAGUAACACGUAGGUAACUACCUCUAAGAGGGGGAUAACUAUUGGAAACGCUAGCUAAUACAGCAUACUCGUAGAUGGACCUGCGUUGUAUUCGCUAGUAGGUAGGGUAAUGGACUACCUAGGCAACGAUAGAUAGCCGACCUGAGAGGGGGUACGGCCACACGGGGACUGAGACACGGCCCAGACUCCUACGGGAGGCAGCAGUAGGGAAUCUUUGGCAAUGGGGUGAACCCUGACCAGGCAACGCCGCGUGAGUGAAGAAGGUUUUCGGAUCGUAAAGCUCUGUUGUUAAGGAAGCGGUACUUAACCAGAAAGGGACGGCUAACUACGUGCCAGCAGCCGCGGUAAUUC